rnacentral:rRNA from 1 species
UGAAUACGAGAUGCUACGGCGUCGAAGCAGUGUAUGUCAGACUUCCAAGAAAAGCUCGCAAUGUCAUAAAUAAAGAAUGCCUGUACCAUAACCGACACAGGUGGGUAGGUAGAGUAUACUAAGGGGCGCGAGAUAACUCUCUCUAAGGAACUCGGCAAAAUAACUCCGUAACUUCGGGAGAAGGAGUGCCUUCUUUAAGAGGGUUGCAAUAACAAGAUCCAAGCAACUGUUUAUCAAAAACACAGGUCUCCGCUAAGUCGUAAGACGAUGUAUGGGGGCUGACGCCUGCCCAGUGCCAGAAGGUUAAAGAAGUUGGUUAGCUUUUGCGAAGCUGAUGACUGAAGCCCUGGUGAACGGCGGCCGUAACUAUAACGGUCCUAAGGUAGCGAAAUUCCUUGUCGGGUAAGUUCCGACCCGCACGAAAGGCGUAAUGAUUUGGAUACUGUCUCGGAGAGGGACUCGGUGAAAUAGACUUGUCUGUGAAGAUGCGGACUACCUGCACCAGGACAGAAAGACCCUAUGAAGCUUUACUGUAACUUGAAAUUGAAAUUGGACUUUAUUUGCGCAGUAUAGGUGGAAGGCGUUGAAAGUAAUCUUGCGGGAUUAGUGGAGCCAUCAGUGAGAUACCACUCCUAUAAUGUUAGAUUUCUAACUUUGGAUCAUGAUCUGGUCAAAGAACAGUUUCAGGCGGGCAGUUUGACUGGGGCGGUCGCCUCUCAAAUGGUAACGGAGGCGUACAAAGGUUUCCUCUGAACGGGUAGAAAUCGUAUCUAGAGUGUAAAGGCAUAAGGAAGCUUGACUGUGAGACCUACAAGUCGAGCAGGGACGAAAGUCGGUCUUAGUGAUCUGACGGUGCUGAGUGGAAAGGCCGUCACUCAACGGAUAAAAGUUACUCUAAGGAUAACAGGCUGAUCUCCCCCAAGAGUUCACAUCGACGGGGAGGUUUGGCACCUCGAUGUCGGCUCAUCGCAUCCUGGGGCGGUAGUACGUCCCAAGGGUUGGGCUGUUCGCCCAUGAAAGCGGUACGCGAGCUGGGUUCAGAACGUCGUGAGACAGUUCGGUCCAUAUCCGGUGUAGGCGUUAGAAUAUUGAGAGGAGCCUUCUUUAGUACGAGAGGACCGAGAAGGACAUACCUCUGGUGUACCAGUUAUCGUGCCAACGGUAAACGCUGGGUAGCUAUGUAUGGAGAGGAUAACCGCUGAAAGCAUCUAAGUGGGAAGCCCACCUCAAGAUGAGUA